UNGGAAUCUGAUACUUUCUUCCAGGAGCCUC
rnacentral:piRNA from 1 species